rnacentral:tRNA from 2 species
AGGGGUAUAGCUCAAUUGGUAGAGCAACGGUCUCCAAAACCGUGUGUUGAGAGUUCGAUUCUUUCUGCCCCUGCCA